rnacentral:RNase_P_RNA from 1 species
GGAGUCGGACAGACCGUCGCUGCGGGCCGCAAGGCCCGGGGAGGAAAGUCCGGGCUCCACAGGGCAGAACGCUGGGUAACACCCAGGAGGGGCGACCCUCGGACAGCGCCACAGAAAGCAAACCGCCCCGCCUCGCGGCGGGGUAAGGGUGAAACGGUGGGGUAAGAGCCCACCAGAUGCCGCGGUGACGCGGCAUGCUCGGCAUACCCCGUUUGGAGCAAGACCAAAUAGGGAAGGUGGUCGGCCCGACCAUUGCCUUCCGGGUAGGUUGCUUGAGGGCGCAGGUAACUGCGCUCCUAGAGGAAUGACGGUCUGGUGCGGGCAACCGCAUGACAGAACCCGGCUUAUCGUCCGACUCCCACU